rnacentral:tRNA from 1 species
GCGGGCGUGGCGAAAUUGGCAGACGCGCCAGGUUUAGGUCCUGGUCCCGAAAGGGGUGGAGGUCCGAGUCCUCUCGCCCGCA